rnacentral:rRNA from 1 species
UACAGAGGUGCCAAGCGUUAGGCGGAAUCACUGGGCUUAAAGCGCGCGUAGGCGGAUGUUUAAGUGUCUUGUGAAAUCCCACGGCUCAACCGUGGAACUGCUGGGCAUACUGGACAUCUCGAGGCACUCAGGGGCGAGCGGAACAAGUGGUGGAGCGGUGAAAUGCGUAGAUAUCAUUUGGAACGCCAAUGGUGAAAACAGGUAGCUGGGGCUGUGCUGACGCUGAGACACGAAAGCCAGGGGAGCAAACGGG